rnacentral:rRNA from 1 species
AUUGAACGCUGGCGGCAUGCCUUACACAUGCAAGUCGAACGGCAGCACGGGAGCAAUCCUGGUGGCGAGUGGCGAACGGGUGAGUAAUAUAUCGGAACGUGCCCAGUCGUGGGGGAUAACGUAGCGAAAGCUACGCUAAUACCGCAUACGAUCUAUGGAUGAAAGCGGGGGAUCGCAAGACCUCGCGCGAUUGGAGCGGCCGAUAUCAGAUUAGGUAGUUGGUGAGGUAAAGGCUCACCAAGCCGACGAUCUGCAGCUGGUCUGAGAGGACGACCAGCCACACUGGGACUGAGACACGGCCCAGACGCCUACGGGAGGCAGCAGUGGGGAAUUUUGGACAAUGGGCGCAAGCCUGAUCCAGCAAUGCCGCGUGCAGGAUGAAGGCCUUCGGGUUGUAAACUGCUUUUGUACGGAACGAAACGGCGAGCUCUAAUACAGUUUGCUAAUGACGGUACCGUAAGAAUAGGCACCGGCUAACUACGUGCCAGCCGCCGCAGUAA